rnacentral:rRNA from 1 species
UACGGAGGGUGCGAGCGUUGUCCGGAAUCAUUGGGCGUAAAAGGCGCGUAGGUGGCCCGGUCAGUCUUUGGUGAAAGCGCGGGGCUCAACCCUGCGUCGGCCAGGGAUACUGCCGCGGCUCGAGCACUGUAGAGGCAGGCGGAAUUCCGGGUGUAGCGGUGGAAUGCGUAGAGAUCCGGAAGAACACCGGUGGCGAAGGCGGCCUGCUGGGCAGUUUAGCUGACACUGAGGCGCGACAGCGUGGGGAGCAAACAGG